AACUUGCAUUUUUCUGAUGAUUAGUGAUGAUCAUUUUUAAUAUUUUAUUCUAUAAUAUAUAUUUAGUGUAUGCAGAUCUGGCCUUUGAAUUCUGGCACACGUUUUGGGUUAUCUAUAGGACAAUGUGAAAUCUAUUAUGAGUUUUAUUCAUAGUUAAGAACCAAAAGCAACCAAAAGAGAUAUACAAAUGGCCAAUAAGCACAUGAAAAUAUGCUGGAAAUUAUUAGUCAUCAAGGAAAUGCAAAUCAAAAUCGCAAUAUACUUCACACUCAUUAGAAUGGCUAGAAUAAAAAAGUUAGAUAAUAAGAAAUGCUGAUGGAGAUGUGGAAAAAUUGGAAUCCUCAUAGACUAAUGGUUGAAAUGUAAAAUGGUGCAACCCACUUUGGAAAACACUAUGGCAGUCACUUCAAUAGUUAAACAUUAUGUUAUCAUAUGACCUAGCAACUCCACUUCUAUAAACUCAAGAGAAAAUAAGACAUAUGUUCACACAAAAAUUUCCACAUGAAUGUUCAUAACAGCAUUAUUUACAGUAACCAAAAGUUAGAAACUAUCCAAAUGUUUAUCAACUGAUGAAUGGACAAAGUUGUGUAUAUCCAUACAAUGGGAUAUUAUUUGGCCAUACAAAGUACUGAUAAAUGUCACAACAUGGAUGAACCUUAGAAACAUAUGGAAAGUGAAAGAAACCAGUCCCCCAAUACCACAUAUUCUAUUACAUUAUUCAUAUGAAAGUCCAAAAUAGGGAAAUAUUUAAAGAUUGGAAGUGUAUUAGUGAUUGCUUAGGACCAGUGGGGACAAUAUUGACAGCUAAAGGAUAUGGGGUUUCUUUUUGAGGUGAUGAAAAUUUAUUAAAAUUGACUGGUGAUGGUUGUACUUAUAUGUGAAUAUAUUUUUUAAAAUUAUUAAAGUGUUCACUUUAAAUGUAUGUGAAUUAUAGCUUCAUUAUUAUAUAAAUUUUUCAACAUACAAAAAGAUGUAAAGGAUAUUAUUAUGAACCCCCAUGCAUCUAUCACAUCUUCAACAAUUAUGUAUGUUUUUAACCAAUGAAGAAUGUUUUCUAAAGAUGCAGCUGACAUAGGCGGAUUCAUACACUAAGAGAAAAGAGUCAGGAUUGAGAGAUUAGUUGAAAAUUUAGAAGGGAAAAGUGAUAAUUGAUACAGCAAAGUUUUUGAGGAGGCAAAUGAUAGCGUAUAGUGCAGGUGGAGAGACCUUGGCUCCAGAUCGUAAGAAAGACUCUGUGGCGGCUCUUGUGGAGGCAGCUAACGUGAGGCUGGGGAGCACUGAGCUGCGCAUCAUGCCCUGCGCUGCCCAGACUAUUGAACAGUACAAUCAGGAUGGGUAAAGGUGACCCCAAGAAACCAAAGGGCAAGAUAUUUGCCUAUGCCUUCUUUGUGCAGAUGUGCAGAGGAGAACAUAAGAAAAACCCAGAGGUCCCUGUCAAUUUUGCAGAAUUUUCCAAGAAAUGCUCUGAGAGAUGGAAGACAAUGUCUGAGAAAGUGAAAUAUAUCUAAAUUUGAUGAAAUGGCAAAGGUGGAUAAAGUGUGCUGUAAUCGGGAAAUGAAGGAUUAUAGACCAGCUAAGGGAGGCAAGAAGGAUCCUAAUGCCCCCAAAAGGCCACUGUCUGGAUUCUUCCUGUUCUGCUCAGAAUUCUGCCACUAAGAUCAAAUCCACAAACCCUGGCAUCUCUAUUGUAGACGUGGCAAAAAAGCUGGGUGGGAUGUGGAAUAACCUAAAUGACAGUGAAAAGCAGCCUUGUAUCACUAAGAUGGCAAAGCUGAAGAAGUAUGAGAAGGAUGUUGCUGACUAUAAACAGAAAGGAAAGGUCGAUGGCACAAAGGGUCCUGCUAAAGUUGCCCGGAAAAAUGUAGAAGAGGAAGAUGAAGAAGACAAGGAGGAAGAAGAGGAAGAGGAAGAAGAGGAUAAAUAAAAAACACUGUUUAUCUGUCUCCUUGUGAAUACUUAGAGUAGGGGAAUGCCGUAAUUGACACAUCUCUUAUUUGAGAAGUGUCUGUUUCCCUCAUUAGAUUUAAUUACAAAAUUAGAUCAUGAUCAUAUUGUAGUCUCUCAAGGUGCCCUAGAGAUUGCCAGUGGUUUACAUGAAGUGGCCAUGGGUGUCUGGAGCACCCUGAAACUGUAUCAAAGUUGUACGUAUUUCCAAACAUUUUUAAAAUGAAAAGACACUCUCAUGUUCUCCUCAUUCUGUGUACUUUGCUGUUGGUGUGACAAGGCAUUUAAAGAUGUUUCUGGCAUUUUUUUUUAUUUGUAAGGUGGUAUUAACUAUAUGGUUAUUGGCUAGAAAUCCUGAGUUAUCAACUUUCUAUAUCUAUAGUUUGUAAAAGGAACAAAACAACCGAGACAAACUCUUGAUGCUCCUUGUUUGGCAUUGAGGCUGUGGGGAAGAUGCCUUUUGGAGGGGCUGUAGCUCAGGUGUGCACUGUGAGGCUGGACCUGUUGACUCUGCAGUGGGCAUCUGUUUAGCUUCAAGUUGUCUUGUUUCUGUAUAUAGUGACGUAGCAUUCUGCCACCAUCUUAGCUGUGGAUAAAGCGGGUCAGCUGGCAUGAGAUUUUUUUGUUUUGUUUUUGUUUUUUAGUUAAGUGAGGUAUUUUUUAAACUGUUUGUUUUUAUACAAACUGUAAAACUCUUCAUUGUCAACAAAGUGAAGAGCCACUGCAUCAAUGAAAGUUCAAGAACCUUCUGUACUUAAACACAAUUUGUAACGUUCUGUUAUUCUUUUGUAUGUUUAGAAUGCUGAAAUGUUUUUGAAGUUAAAUAAACAGUAUUACAUUUUUAAAACUGUUCUCUAUUAUAACAGUCAAUUUGUGACUCACAGCAGUGAACAACCACCACUCCAUUGUAUUUGGAGACUGGCCUCCCUAUAAAUACGGUAGCUUCCUUUAUUACUCACUGGCCAGUUCACUUAGGGCUGAGAUGAAGGAGAGGGCUACUUGAAGCUACUGCCUGCUUUUGUUUGUGUCUGAGUGGCAUUAAGAUGAAGUCUGGAGGAACCAAGAGAAGGACAUAGGCAAGGUUCAAGCCUUCCAAGGUACAGGAAGGUGGGUGAUUAGGACUGAGGCUGACUGCUAGGUUUAACUUUCUCUAUUCCACCUCCACCCCGUAUUUUGUGGGCCAAAUGCAUCGCUAAAUAGCAAUUUCAGACUGUAUGGUGUUUCAAAAAUUCAGGCCUUAGUUUUCCUCUUUCACACCUACCCCCAUGCUCCUGGCACAUAUCACAUUAUUUGUGGUGCCCAACAUUUGGGGUCUUGAGCCUGCUGCUUGUCUCCUGGAAGCCAGUGAGGGUGUGUGGGAUGGGGUGGUGGGGUAGGAGAAAGUAUCUAUCUUUUUGCUCCUACUUUACGCCUUCAAAACACCAAAUCCUCAAGGAAGAUUGUAGGCUCCAUCUUGGGACACCUGAGCUAUAGGGCAGGCUAAUGGAAUCAACCAUUUCCAAGCACUAAAUGUAUCAUGAAAAGUUGAAUGGCCUACUCACAAGUUUAGCUCGUUCACUGGAAAUGUAGAUUGAUGUUCAAUGUUUUUAAACUGGAAGAAGAUUGGUUUGUGUGUCAGUGGUUAUAUUAGUGAGCAGAGUAAGAUUUUAUCCAGGUUGGAGUGAGGGGAGAUGGCCACAAUGGCAAGUGGUGACACUAAAUACCAUUUUGAAGGCUGAUAUAUACAUACAUCAUUACUGCCUGCAGCAAUGAAGGAUACAGUACUGUGUUGUGGGUGAGUAUUGCUAUUGCCCAGCAUUAAUAUUUGGAUGCAUAUGUUUGAGGCUAUGAGACAUGCAGGAGUGUUUUUGUGGUAUUAAUUUUAAGAAAAAGCAGCUUUUUCUUAAAAUUCACUGUUCAGAAACUUGCAUGUCUGGAGGCAGUGUCCUCUCUACCCUGUCAAGUCCUGGAUAAGUACAAGUUAUGGUCACGGUCAUGGCCUGAUCUCUAUAUAUUCAUAUCCAUUCCUUCUCCCAUCAGAACUGUUUAUCCUAAAUGUGUUCUGUAGUUCUAGAAAAUGACCACUAAUUUAAAAAACUCAGUUUUGAGGUUUGCCCAGAGGCACUUGUUCUGGAAUUGCCCCUCCUGCUUCAGCUAUGUCCUUGUCAUUUGGCAUUCUAAGCUAAAGCUUCUGCUUCCCAAUCCAUGAUGUGCUAGGCCAAGAUUUAGGAGCUGUGGCCAGCCUUGUCAAAUGUGGAAGAGAAACAACCUGUAGUAAAAAAAAAAGUGUGAUUUGUUAAGUAGUGCCCAUCUACCUUGUAACUAGACACACCAACCAGGGAAGGGCAAAGGAUGGAAAGGGGUAACUUGUGCUUCCAAAGUAGCUAAGCAGAAGUGGCAAAGCAGUUUAGCCAAAUGAUCUUUGAUUAGGCAAACACUGAGUUUUAAAGAGGCUGUCAAGUUGAGGCUAGUUGGUCCAUUAGCUGGUGCAGCAAGACCACUACUCAACGUUUUCACACUGUCACAAGGUUGCUCCUCUAAUGGAAUAAUACCCUAGUUUCUCUGAGAUGCUAUAAGUGGCAUGAUGUUACCGAAGGCUUGGGCUUAGCUUGAUUUCUGGGCCCACUGUAUGUGUUCUUAAGAUGACAACCUGCUGCUCUUUUUUUUCCAUUUAAAAAGAUAGUACCUAUUCCCUCUAACCACCUCACCCCAUUCUUGAAUGACAUUUUAUCCUUUGGAAAGAAGAAGGCUGUGAUGAAGUGACUAUUGUCUGUUUCUCCUGUGUGUCUGUUCUUAUCACAAAUGUAUUUGGGGACGUUGGGUGCAUUCAUUUUUCUGUAGUAAAGUUUCUUAAUCACUCUUUCCCACCUCAAAAAGCAAGAAAGACUCUUUUCAUUUAGUUGAAAGAAAAAAGAUAAGAAUUACUGGCUCUCAGAAAUCUGGUGAUAUUUCUAAUUUUCAGAAGCUUUCUAUGCUAACUUCCUCCAGUUUCCCUCUGCCACUGCACUCCAUAUCUCCCUAGAUUUCCCCAGUUUCCCCUUUUAAGUCAUUCACUAUUUUUUUUGAAAAGUCUAUCCCACAAAAGCAUUUCAUGAGUUCAGUCAUUUUACUGAAGGUUCAAUGUCUACAGAGAGUAAUCAUAAUACAGAAAACAACCAUCUACCAUCCUCCAUCUUACAGGCAGCCUCUGUUAUCUCUUACAGAGCAACAGACAAACUAUUCCCUUGUCCUAUAAAUAGAAUUCCCUUCCUAAGAGGAAUUCUGGGGAAGAAAUAUUCUCCAUAACUUUACAUACAGAUUAAGUUUUUGGUGUCAUCGGGAAAUGAGCAAAUGCAUGCCUAGUGACAAUUUCUCUGUGAAAUAGGAAGAUUCAUUUAUAAAGAGUUCAUUUGGCUGGAAUUGGGUAGGAGGAAGGUUUAGGAGUGUGCCAAGGGUUUGAAAUAUUGCCAAAGCCUUCCUUUUAGCUUUACCUACAGUAAUGUCUUCCCUUCUAAUAAAGAUGAAAACAGCAAAAUGCCUCCAUCCAUACAAACAUCUAGGAAAUGAGAUUAGGAUUACUAGGGGAUGUUAGACUUCUGUGAAAUGCCACUUAAAUAGGCAGGACUGCCAAUUUAUUCCCUUUUGUGUUGGCUGUGUGAAGAUAAGAUUGGGAAGUAUUGUCAGGGAACUUUCCUCCAUUUAAGUCUGAAUAAGUAGGUAUUUGCAUGAGCAUCAUCCUCAUCGUUCAUUAGAUGACAGCUUAAUUCUAGAGCUGGAAAUGUACUUUGGAAGCGUUUUGUACAAACUUCUUGUCUCCCAAGUGUUUCUCCCUCCCUGACCCCAUUUCUAUCUGUGACAUUUUGUAGUGAACAGUCAAUAGUAAGAAUGAUGAUUGAAGCCAGUGAUUUCAAAAUAAUUUCUAUGCAUUCUCAGAAGGUUUCUGGGGUUGAUUAAGCACCAGAAUAAUUCUGGGUAAUAAUUGCCUAUUUCUCUUGAUGGAGAAAAAGAUGUAAUUUGAAAAUAAUUGAACAAGAGAAAAAUGAAUGGAUACUUGAAAAAGUUAUGUAGGCCAUAGUAUUGCUUAAAGCAAUAAAUAUUUUGGAGUUAAAAUACCAUAAAUAUAACAAUAUAAAUACUGUGUAUGUGUGACUACAUAAGUUAGAUUUUAAUAAUUUAUGCUUAGCUCAUCUUCCACACUUGAAGUAUUUUUCUUAUAUUGGAGAAAACAUAAUGACUAUAAAAAUGAUUUAAUACUGGAUCCUUUGAAUUUGGAAAUUUGUAACCACACAUACAUGUAUAAGUCAUAUACAAAGUAUAUCACUAAUAUGUUCUGCUUUACAAUGCUCCAUUGAAUUAGCCUCUCAGGAAAAAUAACUUAGUCCAGUUACUUCCCAGUCAACUCAGCUAAGGGUGUUUCUAUCUUUUAAAUUUGAUUAGUAGAUUCCAGUCUUUCCAGUGAAUGACAUCAUUAAUUAAAGUCAGUGCCAAAAGACUAUGAGAAAAACUGAUGCUUUGAGUAAAACUGAGCUUCUCCCAGGCAAAUAAAUAAUAAAGCUUCGGAGUUUUUAUGUCCACCAUCUAUAGAUGUUUUUCCAUUUAUUCAGAAACUAAAUAAUAAAAACCUUUAUUCCUAUGCAUUUUAAGUUGUACAUUUAGAUAGAGACAAUUACAUUGCAUGGACAGAAUUACAUGGUAUUGAAUUUUAAGAAGCAGGCGUGGAUAAAGCUACAGCAAUCAAGACAGUGUAGUAGUGGCAAACGAAUACACAAAUAGAUCAAUGGAACAUAAUAGAGAGCCUACAAAUAGACCUACAUAACAGUCAACUAAUCUUUGAUAAAGGAACAAAUGCAAUACGAUGGAGAAAUGAUAAUCUUUAAGACUCUAGACACAGACCUUACACCCUUGACACACACACACACACACACAAAAAAAAAAACAAAAUAGAUCACAGACCUAAAUGCAGAAUACAAAUCUGUAAAAUUCCUAGAAGAUAACAUAGGAGAAAAUGUAAAUGACCUUGGGUUUGGUGAUUGCUUUGUAGCUACAACACCAAAGGCAUGAUGCAUGAAAGAACUGAUAAGCUGAACUUCAUUAAAAUUAAAAAUUCCUGCUCUGCAGAAGACACUGUCAAGAGGAUAAAAAGAUAAACCACAGACUGAAAGAAUAUAUUUGCAAAAGUCUUAUCUGAUAAAGGGCUGUUAUGCAAAAUGUACAAAGAACUCUUAAAACUCAACAAUAAGAAAACAACCAGAUUUUUUUAAAAAGAGUCAAAGACCUUAACAGACACCUUGCCAGAGAUAGACAGAUUGCAAAUACACAUAUGAAAAAAUACUCUAUAUUAUAUGUCAUCAGGGAAAUACAAAUUAACACAAUGAUGAGGUACCACUAUGUAUCUAUUGGAAUGGAAUAUCAUUUAGCCUUAAAAAAAUAAGGAAAUUUUGUCAUUUCUCAAUAACAUGAAUGAACCUGGAGGACAUUAUGCUAGGUGAGAUAACCUAGAUACGGAAAGAAAUAUACUGCAUGAUCUGACUUAUAUGUGUAAUCUACAAAA